UCCCGGCCCCUCCCGCUGCCCGGGAGGCUCGCGGGCUCCUGGCGCCCUCUAGCGGCCGCCGGGCCCGGCGGCAGCGGCUCCUCCGCCCAAGGGUCCCGGGACAGAUCCCACAUUGCUGCCUCUUCCCCUCCUCCCGCCCUGCCGGGAGGCGACGGCUCCCGACCCGGCAACAGGCGCUGCCCCGCACCCGGGGAGCCGCUGCAACGAGGCAAUGCCGCAGACGCGCGGGAUAAUGUGCAUUCCUUCCCAUAACCUCCUCCCGGGCCGGUCGGAGUUGCCUGCACGCUGACCCUCCCACACAUCUCUGCCAGGGAAACGACCUCGGAGCAGAUCCUGCCCGCCAGCCAACCGAGACUGCAGUUUACGGUGACAGUCAUGCACGGAUCAAUGUGUCAUCGCCAUUGGGAGGAAUACUUUGAUAAACUGACUUUGAUCAAACACACGGCCGAUAAGCGCUCAGGCAUCAGGCUUUGCUAACCCUCUCCCGCAAUUGCUGCACAGGGUUUAAAGGUUCUUCUCUGAGUAGUUACACAGUAACACAAGCCACCAGCACCGUGUGGUGAAAUGAGACCGAAGUAACGGCGUGCAGGGGCGCACAUCCAUGUUGUGGGGGGAGCCCGGCCGUGCCCAGCCAGUCACAGCCCUUGGCUGCAGGAAGGUCGCUGUCUCCCAGCAGCCAUUCCAGCAAGAUCAGCACACCAGCAUGGAUCUCCCCCCACCGCUGCAGCAGCUCACACACUAUGCCAAAUGCUAAAUCUAAGGCCAUUGGAGCAUUCACUAUCCUAAGUGCAAACUCUGUUGGGAGAAAAUAUGUGUAAGAAUACAGAGCAAGACCACAAACAUUUUCAAAUAAAAUCAGCACAAAAAAUGAUUUCUUGAAAACAGAUGCUGAAUUUACACAAACACAUGUAGAAUGAUGAAUUAUACUGCACUAAGUUAGAUGAAUGUUUACUUCUGUGCCACUUGGGGCCUUUCCUCAAUUCCAAAAUAAUACAUGGAGCAAUUGAAAA